GUACUUGCUUCAGCAGCACAUAUACUAAAAUUGGAAUAAUACAGGGAAGAUUAACAUGGCCACUGUGCAAGGAUGACAUGCAAAUUUGUGGUGUUCCAUAUUUUUUU